rnacentral:rRNA from 1 species
GUCUAUGGCCAUACCACCCUGAAUGCGCCCGAUCUUGUCUGAUCUCAGAAGCUAAGCAGGGUCGGGCCUGGUUAGUACUUGGAUGAGAGAAGAAGGAAGAGACUGAGGGCUCAAUGCU